rnacentral:rRNA from 1 species
AAAAACAUAGUAUUAAGAUUUAUUUAAUAUAGAAUCUGCUCAAUGAUUUAAUUUAAAUAGCUGCAGUAUUUUGACUGUGCAAAGGUAGCAUAAUAAUUAGUCUUUUAAUUGGGGACUGGAAUGAAAGAUUUGAUGAAAAAUAAACUUUAUUAUUUAUAAAAUUAAAAUUUUAUUUUUAAGUAAAAAAGCUUAAAUAUUUUAAAGGGACGAUAAGACCCUAUAAAACUUUAUAAUUAUUGUUAUUAAAAUUUUUGGGUUAUAUAAAUUUUAAUAUUUUUAAUUAUUUUAUUGGGGUGAUAAAAAAAAUUAUUUAACUUUUUUUAAAAUUUUACAUUAAUUAAUGGUAUUUUGAAUUAAAAUUUUUAAUUAUAUGAAAAAGUUACUUUAGGGAUAACAGCGUAAUUAGUUUUUUAAGUUCAAAUUUAAAAAUUAGUUUGCGACCUCGAUGUUGAAUUAAGAUUAGUCUUAGGUGCAAAAUUUUAAGUUAUAGGUCUGUUCGAC